UGGGGAAUAUUGGACAAUGGGCGCAAGCCUGAUCCAGCCAUGCCGCGUGAGUGAUGAAGGCCCUAGGGUUGUAAAGCUCUUUCACCGGUGAAGAUAAUGACGGUAACCGGAGAAGAAGCCCCGGCUAACUUCGUGCCAGCAGCCGCGGUAAUACGAAGGGGGCUAGCGUUGUUCGGAAUUACUGGGCGUAAAGCGCACGUAGGCGGACAUUUAAGUCAGGGGUGAAAUCCCGGGGCUCAACCCCGGAACUGCCUUUGAUACUGGGUGUCUUGAGUUCGAGAGAGGUGAGUGGAAUUGCGAGUGUAGAGGUGAAAUUCGUAGAUAUUCGCAGGAACACCAGUGGCGAAGGCGGCUCACUGGCUCGAUACUGACGCUGAGGUGCGAAAGCGUGGGGAGCAAACAGG
rnacentral:rRNA from 1 species